rnacentral:lncRNA from 1 species
UUAAUUUGUAGCAAAAUAAAUCUGAUAAGCUCCUUUGUUAUUUUGCAGUUGAUAAAUGAGAAGCCACAGAUUAUCCAAGAAUACGAGUCGGGAAAGGCAAUUCCAAACCAACAGAUAAUCUCAAAACUGGAGAGAGCUCUUGGAGCGAAACUUCGAGGAAAGAAAUAAAGUGUGAGCGCACAAGUGAGCCUUAUGGAUCGUCUCUGUCUGUUUGAAUCCAAAAUUUGGUCAUGUACACAAACUUUUCUCUAAACAUUGCUAUGUUUUGCUUAUUGUUAUGCCUGGAUUCACUACUGUUUUCUUUGUUGACUUGGCUGUUUCUUCUGCGGAAAUUUUGAAGUUACUCUUUUACGGGACUUUUUUUCUGCUUAUAUUCUCAACUGUUUUUCAUAGGAUUACAUAUUUACUCUUAUCGUUUUCAAAUCAGUCCUUCAGCCAUCAAGUUCAGUCUAGUUUCUAAACCCAGGAACUUAAUUAUAGUGUUAUGUGAACUUAGGGUGUGUCCAAUUUUCCCAGGUUCGUUUGGUUAAAUUUAUUGGAAAAUAUUAUCGUAGUAGGAGAAAUGUGGUGUUCCACAUUGAUUGUAUCCUUUUCACCCUCCAAUCCGUCAUAUUUUCACCCUGCCUCCCAUCCUCACCACCCCACACUUUCAAUCUCGGACAGAUCCCCUAGUUCUUCCUCGGUGUGGUCAGUGUCGUGCAGCACCCUCCACCCAUCCUCUUAUGGUAUUUCUCUGGAUCGUACCUAUCAAACACAAGAAAAUAGGAAAAUCAUUAUUUUUCUGUAAAACAUUUUCUUUCAUACCGAAUACAUCCAUAAUGUAGUUUUCCACAAAAAGGCCUCAGCUAGAAAAAAACUUCUGAAGUGAAACUUCAAUAAUGGGUAAACACAGUUGUGAGAGUUAAAAGUGCUUAAUCAUAUAAUCUAGCAAUUAAAAAAAUCGGAUUAGGUAAUAGAAGCUUUGAAUGAAAAAGUAUACACCACAAACAACUAAGUUUUAAAUAUAAUUUAUUGCUUGAAAAUUUAUUCUAAUGAAAAACAUAAUCAUGUGAACAUAAAAACUGCUCAUUAAAAAAUGAAAAGAAAAAUCUUCUGCUACUGGGUGUUUAUGGGAUCGUUGUGGCAACUUAAAUUUUCUUACAAAGUCACUCCAAUUGAAUUUGUCACUUUUGAUCAUUAGAAAAAUAUGACUCAAGUGAAAAUAUUCUAUUCAUUCUACCGCGAGACUCUAAUGAGUAAUCACCAAGAAAUUGGUGGUCGCAAAAGGAGAAAACUGCCAAAGAGCCAGUAGGUAAAACUCAUAAUAUAAUUAUAUAGCCAGUAGGUAAACACCUACUAUCAAUAAGAUAGGAAAGCAUCCACACUUGGAAAGUGCUAGGGAGAUACCAUACUUCAUCUCGUUUCAGUUGGUGUGACACUAUUUUUUCAACACUCAGUCAAUGAAAGAAUGAUACAUUUUUAUAUAAAAACGAUACUUUAAUUUUAGACUUUCGUUUUACGUUUAAUAGUAAAAGUGUAUUCAAAAUUUUAACUUGAUAGUACCGUACUCAUUUAUAUUUUUAAAAUUAAUGAGAUUGGAUCUAAUAUUUAUGAAGACUUUAGUAGAGUUUUAUAUAUAAAAAUAAAUUGGACUCAGAUGAAACCCUAUAUAUUUCAUGUACUUUUUGUUCUUCCUCUAGAGUGCACAUUGCGAACUUGUCUAAAUUGGGAUUCAAUAUUUGACCUUGUUUCAAUUAUUUUUCUUCUUUGAUUCAAUUCAUCAAUUUGGGUAUUUGUGGUUCCAAAAGACGUACUCCUCCUAUCAUCAUGAACGUCCAUCACAAUCAGGUACCUCCGCAUAUAAAUCACCCUCCUCCUAGAAAUAACCUCUUUAUCAUUCCAAAUCAAAACCAGCCACGGGUACCUCCGCACAUAAACCACCCUCCUCCUAGAAAUAACCGCGUUAUCGUUCCAAAUCAAAACCGGCCACGGGUACCUCCGCACAUAAACCACCCUCCUCCUAGAAAUAACCGCGUUAUCGUUCCAAAUCAAAACCGGCCACGGGUACCUCCGCACAUAAACCACCCUCCUCCUAGAAAUAACCGCGUUAUCGUUCCAAAUCAAAACCGGCCACGGGUACCUCCGCACAUAAACCACCCUCCUCCUAGAAAUAACCGCGUUAUCGUUCCAAAUCAAAACCGGCCACGGGUACCUCCGCACAUAAACCACCCUCCUCCUAGAAAUAACCGCGUUAUCGUUCCAAAUCAAAACCAGCCCCGGGUACCUCCGCACAUAAACCACCCUCCUCCUAGAAAUAACCGCGUUAUCGUUCCAAAUCAAAACCAGCCCCGGGUACCUCCGCACAUAAACCACCCUCCUCCUAGAAAUAACCGCGUUAUCGUUCCAAAUCAAAACCGGCCACGGGUACCUCCGCACAUAAACCACCCUCCUCCUAGAAAUAACCGCGUUAUCGUUCCAAAUCAAAACCGGCCACGGGUACCUCCGCACAUAAACCACCCUCCUCCAAGAAACAACCGCGUUAUCGUUCCAAAUCAAAACCAGCCCCGGGUACCUCCGCACAUAAACCACCCUCCUCCUAGAAAUAACCGCGUUAUCGUUCCAAAUCAAAACCAGCCCCGGGUACCUCCGCACAUAAACCACCCUCCUCCUAGAAAUAACCGCGUUAUCGUUCCAAAUCAAAACCAGCCCCGGGUACCUCCGCACAUAAACCACCCUCCUCCUAGAAAUAACCGCGUUAUCGUUCCAAAUCAAAACCGGCCACAGGUACCUCCUCACAUAAACCACCCUCCUCCUAGAAAUAAUCGCGUUAUCGUUCCAAAUCAAAACCGGCCACGGGUACCUCCGCACAUAAACCACCCUCCUCUUAGAAAUAACCGCAUUAUCGUUCCAAAUCAAAACCAGCCACGGGUACCUCCGCAAAUAAACCACCCUCCUCCUAGAAAUAACCGUGUUAUCGUUCCUAAUGCAUAUUUAUGACUCAGACUCAGCUUGCUAAGGUAUAUAUCUCACUUCUCUAUAGAAAAUUGAAAUUUCGAUAAUAUAAUGUUGUUUUUCAAAAUUCAAACCUGAAACUAAUUUGAUGGGGUAGAUAAGUUCCUUAUUAUUAAAUAAAUAUAUAUAUAUAUAUAUAUUUAUUGAAGAUAGUUGCAUGGUCUCUAAAAUUCAUUUAAGAAAAUAAUUUUGAUAGAAUUUUAAUUAUAAUAUAUUUCUUCAGUCCUAAUUUUAUGUGAAAGUGUUUGAUAAUUAGGGAUGAAAUUUAUGUAUAAAAGGAAGAACUUUGAUUUUAUGAUCCAAAAUAAAUCAUAGAGAUUUAUGUGUCUAUAAAUUAUCUUACUACGAAUAAAAUGACAAGUUUAAAGCUAAAUUAUUAAUACUAAAUAUAUAAAUAUCUUAUUCUUUUAAGAACGGCUUAUAUAUAGUAGUAUUUUUAUUAUAUAUUGAUUGUAAGCAAAUAAAAUUUAUUUUAUGAAAAAAAAAUCUCAAUUUUCUUAAUACUUUUAUUGUUGAAGAACUCAUAAUUUUAUAAAUCAAAUAGACUGCACAAUACACUUAAAAUUGAGUCAUGAUAUAGCUUCACGUGACAGGAAGUUAAUAAAAAGAAUUCUAGUGAACCUUUAAAAUUUUUGUGAUGUUGUUUGAGUUUUGGGGUGAACUAAAGAAAGUUAAUUUUGUUUAUCACAAUUCGCCAACAUAUGAGCAAAAUGUCCAUUUUAAUCUGUGUUUUUAGAGAGGAUCCCUUUUGAUAUGUAGCAUUCAAAAAGUAUCCAUUUUAAGACCGGACUUAUUUGCAUAGAAUAAUUUUUCUCAAAAAGAAUCAUUAAUAAAGUGUCAGUUAAAUUAUUCGGUCAUUAUCUAAUGAACGACAUAAUUAUGUAUGAUUAAUUUUUUUUAUAUCGUCAAUCCAUAGAAUUUAAAACUCGAUUUGAUACACAUGUUCUUGUUAUGCAUGCAGAAGCUAGACUAAAAGUGAAUGUACAAAUCAUCAAGAAUUAUGAAUAUGGAAAAGACAAUUUCCCCAAACGAAAACAUGAUGUAUCAAUUGGAGAAAGCUCUUGGAUUAAAACUCCACUAAAUUAAAUUAAAUAAAGAAUAAUAUUGGUAAUUAAAAAAGAGCCUUAUGAAUUAAUCUUGUUAUCAUGUAGAUGGAUUUAUUUUAAUGUUCUUUUUAAAUAUUUCUUCGGUUCUAUUUUUAUUAUAUCGUUUUAGCUCUUUUUACAUAUAUUUAAAAUGUAAUAAAUAAAUGUAUAUUUUAUUAUGUUUUUAUAUUUAAUAAAAGUAGAUUGAUUUUUUCCCUAAAAUAUUGUGCAUUCUUAUUGCUAUUUCUUUAAUAUUAAAGAUAUAUUCAAUAGCAAUGAUUAACUUUAAUCUUGAAUUUAUUGGCCAAAACAUAUAUGAACUGUUUUUGUCUCUCACUAGUUUCAUACGCAACUAUCAAUUGAUCACUUAUUCUUCCUGAACUACACCACAUAUGAUCUAUCAUUAGGUAUUAAAACACACCUAAAAAUUGAUUAAGCUAACUAUCAGUUAUUUCUUUUCCUACGUGAAGUAUAAUAUAAUAAUUUUCUUAUGUUAUGCUUAGAGGCACUUAUAAAAUUUAAAAGUUUUAGUUAAGAAUGGAAAGAUAAUCACCCCACAACAACCUUUAUACAUAUAUUAGUAAAAUUAAUUAAAUAAAAAAUAUAAAGGAGACCUGCUUAUCUUUUAAAUUAAAAUAUAGUAUUUUAGUCAAGUCAAGUUUUGGUUUAUAAAUAUAUAUUUAAAAAAAAGACAUGCUUUGUCUUCUUUAUAUAUAGUAUAUAGUAAGUAAUAGUAGGUAAAGUUUUAGUUAAAGAAAUAUUUUUAAAUUUAUACAGAUUGAAUUGGAGUUCAACUCAUAUGAAGGGCAAAACGUGCAAUGUUAUGUUGAAUCUAUGACUCAUUUUAAAUUAUGUUAGACAAUAUCACCCAUAUUUUUUAAUGGAGAAUUUUCGCAAAUAGUUAUUAUAAUAAACUUAAUUAUGCUCCAUAGCUAUAGUUUGCAUAUUUACAGGUUGUAGUUACAGUUUAAGUUGUCUUGUUGAUAUAAUUUGCUGGUACAUUUGUCUCCGCACUAUCACUGAAGAGGCUAGCCCAGACAUUAUGACCUAAAAAUAGAGCCAAAUCAACUGCAAUGGCAAGAAGAACAGAUAGCUUGAGAGUAACAAACAUAGCAUGCUUAGCUUUAUCAGGAUUUCCAGCUCCUAACUCGUUUGCCACCCUAGUGCUGCACGUUGAAACAUAAUUAAGUAAAUACAAGUACGUUUUCUCUCUCUAUAUCUGGUCACAUAAUUCUACAUAGUACCAGAGCAAGCAGGUCCGAAGUUUAAAUUCACCGUCAUUCGUUAUCAAAAAGAGUUUUUGCAUUCGAGCCUUAGUCAUCCGUUUAAAAAGAACCAUCCGCAUGUUAAGGGGUUGAAGCAUAAUCAAAUAAAAAAAGGUAUGCUAUCUCUAACAGUUUAAACAUUUAGAUGUGAUUGUCACAAAUCAACACUAUGGGAUCGUUUAGUAGCUGGUUUGCAGGUGAGUUAUGCAGGUAUUAAAUCCUACAUAAGUAAUACCAUGUUUGGUAGCUCGUUAGGAGGUAAGUUAUUCAGGUAUAAAAUUAAGGCAUAUGGUGUUUGGUUUGCAAUUUACAAACCCACAUAACUAAUACAUGUAUAAGUAACUAGUAUUUGGGCACGCGCGUUGCGCGUAUAUCCCUUACCACCUUACCAGUGAGCAUAAGUAUUUUUCAAAAUUGCAUCAAUAUGAUAAAUAUAUUCAAAAAUCAAUGACAUCCAACAUCUAAAAUGUCCAACUUUGAAGAUUCUUAAUUAGUACUAAAUUGAUUUUUAUUUGAAUUUAUGAGUUAAAAUUUGGUAUGAAUUUGUCAAAUUUUGGUCGUUUUUAUAUAGAUAUUAUGUUUUGAUCAAAAAAUAAUUUAGUUAAUUAAAUCUAUAGAUUACAGGCUUAAUAUGUUCAUAUCAUCAAUUAACCGUUGUCCUACCUCCAAAAUCAAUAUUACAUUUCUAAACGAAACUCAUUUGAUGCGACUCAACGCAAUUAUAAUAUUUUUUGUAGUUAGAAAAGAAAUUCAGCAUUUCAUUUAUAUUUUGUCGACUGUAUUGUUAAAAUAAGUAAUAUAAAUUCUGAAGGAGAAAGAGAGGGAUAAACUAUGGCUCAAAUAACUAAAAUAAUCAACUAAAAUUAAAGCAAAGAAAGUUAAUAUAUUUUCGUGAGAAACAUAACCAAAAUAUGAUAUUGUAUUCAUUCCUUUCUUUCUUAACAUGGGUUGUUAUCCUCCCUUCUUUCUUUUUGGACGAAAGCUCCAUUAAAAAAAUUAAAUUCAGACAAAGAAAGUGAAGUCAAAUAGGCAAUGAAUAUCAAAUCACUCAACAUGCCAUAGCUCAUAAAUACAUUUUUUACUUUUAUUGGAUUAUGACGGUUAAUAUAAAAAAAAUUCAAUACUUAAUUAGCUUUACACACAAAUAAAUCACAUGAAUCUGCAUAUGAAAAUUCAAUAAAUUUGAUCUACUAUUAACAAAAAAAAAAACCAAACAAAGAAUAUUGUGCUAACAAAAAAUUAUGUUAGAAGGAAAUGUCACUUACCCCAUUUGUAUUGGCACAACUCAAAGUAAAGUUCUAUGCGAUUGACACAGAAGCAUCUCAUCAAUUGAUUUUCCUGCAACAAAAAAAAUCAUCUCAUAAGCUAUUGACACAAAAUUAAUUUUUUAUUUUAUAUCAGAGAUCAAAAUCUUAAACAUCAAUCAAACAACAUAAACUAUAUGAUAAGUAAGAAGUAAGAAACAAAAUAAAAAAUAACUUAAAAGAACAUACACAUGAAUGGAGCAUCGGAAAGGACAAUGCUCCUAUGCUCUCUAUCAAACUCAUAAAACAAAAUGUAACGAACAAGAAGAUAUACAUAUGUGAAAUGAAAAUACAAGGAUCAUAGUGGAGAAUGUAAAGAGACAACCGUUUCUUUAGACGAUUAUUAAUGAAUAAUUGUCUUUUUAAUGUAUCUAUUUUAUGUAAAAAUAUAUAUUUUAAGUACAAUAUAAUAUGUGAUAUGAUUACUAUUUAAUAUUUUGUUAAUUAAAUAUUUAAUAUAGGGGUAAAAUGGUAAUCCAACAUUGUACUUUGAUGCUUCCCACUUUUAAUAAUAUAUGAUGAGCGAAUCUAUGAAUUAUUUUGUGUAGGAUAAAACAUGGAAUAUUUAAACCCUGCAUAACUAAUACCUACAUAAAAUUAUACAUAGAUUCACUCAUAACUAAUCCAUAUAUUACUAUUACCUGUAUAACUCUAACCAACUACCAAACAACGUUUUCCACAUUCGUAUUUGGUAUCAGUAACAAAACUGAGGGGGAAAAGGGGGUCAAAAUUAUGUCAAUUUUUUGUUGGUAACAUCACCUUGCAGCUGCACUCAGACCAUAAGAUAUCAUGUAAGCUAUGUUUUGUGUAUUUACACUGAAAGGUCAUAAACCAAAACAAAUUGGUGUCAGCAACUAAAAUUCAGUCUUCAAAAUCAUGAAAAUGUGUUGUUGAGAAGGACAGAAGCUUACCACAUAGCUACAACAGAAGUAGUUGUUCCUGAGUUUGGCAUCAAACCAGCCAAUAACACAAGAAGCUCAAAAGCCCAGUACUCCAAGCUGGUAUACAUCAAAUUAGGAAAUUAUUAGUACGACUUGGAUUAUAACGCGUAUCAUUCGGUGAUGAUUUAACUUAUAUUCACCGACAGUGUGAUGAAAAUUUUAGGCAUACUACAUAAACAGACAUUCCAACUUAGUCUCAGUUGGCAAGUAAGCACUUUAACUUUGAGAGUGCACAAUUAGACACCUCAACUGACAGCUAAACGCUCCACCUCAUCCUCACUGUGUCCUUUCUUGUGGACACCUAAUGUUGAAGCGACACAUAAAUUUUUGAGGUGUUUAGAUGAUCAUUUUGUAAGUUUGAGUAUUUAAUUAACAGAAAGGAGACGAGAUGAAGUGUGUAGAUGUGCAUACUCAAAGUUAGAGUGUUUACUCGCCAGCCGAGGUCAAGUGUGAGUGUUUGUUUAUAUACUAUGCCAAAAUUUUAUAUUAGCAAUGUGAGUUAACCUGCUAUAGAAGGUUACUAGUCUUAUUUUACAAGUAACUAAUUUUACUCGUUAUGAUUUGUUGCCUGUAAUCGCCUUUGUGUAAAAAAAGGGUCUAUGAACAUAUAAGUUAACUCUUCUUGUAAUAACAAAAUUUACAGUUAAUUCUUACCAUACCAUGGCAGCAGAGGGCAAAGCCAACUUCAAGUUUGUAAGGAUAUGAUGAAAUGGCUCGAACGAGAGACCAUCUCUCCAGAUAUGGUUGAAUCUCUUCGAAAGGAGCACGUAUAGGCCCAACGUGAGAAGUGAGAUCCAGAUCGAAAUAGAAGCCGCUAAUGAUGCUCCUUUAAAAGCAAGACCUGUCCAAUGAACCAAGGCAUAGGAAAUCCCAAUGUGGAUGACUAAAGAUCCAACUGAACAGAAAGCCAGAGGCAUGAUGAUCGACUGUGCCUGAAGAGAUCUCAAAAUGUUUUGCAGAAAACUAUAUGCAAACAAUCCAGGAAUGAGGAACCUCAAAAAUACACCGGCUUCUCUAGCUAUGUCAGGAUCUUGAUGAAGUAAAAUCAGAAUCAUAUCAGAAUACCACCAGAUGGCAGAAAUCACCACAGAAAAGAAGAACGAUAUGAUGCAUGAUGCCUGCAAAUGUAUCCCCAACAUUCUGUACAUUUUUGCUCCAUACCCUUGUCCGCAUAAUGUCUCAAGUGCACCACUUAGACCAACCUAUAGACUGUUCACUAACAAGUUUAAGACUUGCUUCAGUAACAUUGGAAGCACAGGGCAUCAUGUAAAAGUUGGAUUCUUAUCUUAGACAUGCUCAUUUUCGGGCAAGCACGAUCUCUUUGAAUAUUUUAAACAAUUGCAUAGAACAUUAAUACAAGAAAAGUUGCAUAGCUAAUCAUCAUUUUGUUAAGAUCUGCAAACAGUUUUACUCAUUCCAAGAACUACUCUUCACUCUUUAGCACCUAAACAAUUACCAUUUUGUUAGAGUUCAGAUCCUCAUUUGUAGAAGAGUAUAGUUAUGGGAUAAGGCACAAGUACUCCUAGACUAUGACCGAAAUCCCAGAUACACACCUUAACUAAACUACGGUCCUAUUAGUUUAACUAAUUUGAAAUUGAGACAAUUGACUGGUAGUACUCUGAACAAAAUGAUCGUUGGCAGGAAAGAAGAAAAUAUGAACAAAUAUUGGAAGAAAAUGGUAAUGCAUGAGUUAAAGAGAUAUCAAACUAAGUAAUACAUUAAGGAUAAUUUGAUUAGACACAAAUUUUAUGAAAAAAAUUGAAACUUAUGAUCUUAAAUAUGUUUGCUGUAAAAGCAUGUCAUUUAGGAUAAAUGGAACCUAAUAACUUUUUCUCAUACCAUAUAUGUAUUUAACUAUUUCAUUAAACAUUUACAAAUAUUGAUUGUAAAUCCAGUUAUUAUAUAUUAACUUGAGAUCUUUGUAGUAACUCAUAAACUUCAAGUCCUCGAUCCCCUAUGGUUCUUGUUGGAUGUAUUCAGCAACAGAUUCAAGUUUUGUACAGAGUUAAUUGUCAAAAACACAUCUAAAGUAUUCCAAUUUUUUGAGUUUCAUACGUGAUCUAUUAGCUGUUCAAGUUUCCUACCUAAACUACCAACAAUUAUUUAUCAAAACACACCUCAACUAUCCAUCGUUCCUUUGUCCUACCUGAAAUAUGAGUGAUAUUUCAGGUAGAAAAAGAGAACAAUUGAUAGUUGAAGUGUGUUCUUAUAAAUAGUUAGUAAUAUUUCAGGUAGGAAACGCACACACAUGAUCGUUUACGUAUGUUUUCGACUCUUAUAUAUACUAAAAGUAUAAUGAAUUUUUCACACUACUAUAACUACAAUUACCUUUUUAAGUGAUCCGAUUAUAUAAAUAUUUUUCCAUCAUCAAUGCAUAAAACUUAAAAAGUUGUAAUCUAAAACAGAGCAAUAAGUUUUUACAUACCAUGAAGCUGAAACCAGUAACCAUAGCCCAUGAAUUAGCAAGAUUUGAUGCAACCAGCUCGAGUUUCCCGAGGUGUCCGGCGAACAUGACGGAAACAAGGUUGAUGAAGGAGAAACAACUGUUCACUACAAUCAUUGGCAAUGAAAAUAACAUCUGAUUCUUAGCCUCUUCUACGUCGAUCAACUUUGCACACCAACUGUUCGAUGAAAUGCCUGACGAUGAUGAUGAUCCUAACAGGGGACUUUUCGGAUCGGAUGAACAAUUCUCCGAAGCCAUUUUUUUUUUUUGGGCUCUGCCCUGAAAGUCUACAAUGAGGUCUUUUUGAUUGGGAAACAAGCUACCAUGUAAUUUGGUUACGUAAUCGAGAUCUUCGUUUUUACAUAUAUAAGAGUUAAUAGAUUUGUUAUGUAAGGGAGAUUUUCAGUUUUACACUUAAGAGAGAUCGGAAAAAGAAAUGUUUUCUUCUAUUUACUACUCUUUCGGUCCUUAUUUACUCGUCAAAUAUUUCACAAUCUAUUAAUAGGGUAAAAUAAUGAAUUAAUAUAUUGAUCAUUGUUUCUCUAAUAAACGUGUCAAAUCAAAAUUUGAUAAUCUAAGAGAUUUGAUUUGAUAGUCUUUUAAGAAUUAUUCAUUUCUCGAUGAUAAGAUAAAAAUAAAAUUAUGAUUCUACCUCUUAGAUAAUAAUCUCAAAACUGGAGAGAGCUCUUGGAGCGAAACUUCGAGGAAAGAAAUAAAGUGUGAGCGCACAAGUGAGCCUUAUGGAUCGUCUCUGUCUGUUUGAAUCCAAAAUUUGGUCAUGUACACAAACUUUUCUCUAAUCAUCGAUAUGUUUUGCUUAUCGUUAUGACUGGAUUCACUACUGUUUUCUUUGUUGACUUGGCUGUUUCUUCUGUGGAAAUUUUGAAGUUACUCUUUUACGGGACUUUUUUUCUACUUAUAUUCUCAACUGUUUUUCAUAGGAUUACAUAUUUACUCUUAUCGUUUUCAAAUCAGUCCUUCAG